rnacentral:rRNA from 1 species
UACAUAGGUCCCGAGCGUUGUCCGGAUUUAUUGGGCGUAAAGCGAGCGCAGGUGGUUUAUUAAGUCUGGUGUAAAAGGCAGUGGCUCAACCAUUGUAUGCAUUGGAAACUGGUAGACUUGAGUGCAGGAGAGGAGAGUGGAAUUCCAUGUGUAGCGGUGAAAUGCGUAGAUAUAUGGAGGAACACCGGUGGCGAAAGCGGCUCUCUGGCCUGUAACUGACACUGAGGCUUGAAAGCGUGGGGAGCAAACAGG